GAUGAACGCUAGCGGCAGGCUUAACACAUGCAAGUCGAGGGGUAGAGGAAGCUUGCUUCCUUGAGACCGGCGCACGGGUGCGUAACGCGUAUACAAUCUACCUUUUACAGAGGGAUAGCCCAGAGAAAUUUGGAUUAAUACCUCAUAGUAUUUCGGAUCGCAUGAUUUGAUUAUUAAAGUUCCAACGGUAAAAGAUGAGUAUGCGUCCCAUUAGCUAGAUGGUAAGGUAAACGGCUUACCAUGGCUACGAUGGUAGGGGUCCUGAGAGGGAGAUCCCCCACACUGGUACUGAGACACGGACCAGACUCCUACGGAGGCAGCAGUGAGGAAUAUUGGUCAAUGGACGCAAGUCUGAACCAGCCAUGCCGCGUGCAGGAUGA
rnacentral:rRNA from 1 species